CGAUAUUAUGCCUGGCUCAUGGAUGUAUCUUCCGCAAUACUAUUAUACUUUACUUUCUUUUGUUUGUGUGAGAAUUACUUUACUUUCCCUUUGUGUAGCCUUAAGUAGUCAAACUUUUUUGGGGGUCAGUAUGGAGAUAGUUUUCCCUAUGUGUAGGUCUUCUAGGGCUUUAGUCUAGGUUUCGUUACAUAUUAAUAACAUCUUUUACCCUGGGGAGAAUUUGUCUUUAGAUGUGAAUUUACAAACCAAAUCCCUGUUUCUUUCCACCAAAUAAAUAUGAUUACAGUCAUAUUAUGAGAAGGCGCUCCCACUUUAACAACGAAAGCUGUAUUCACAAAAUAGAACAUCCGCUAAAUAGUGGUAUCAUUGUCAACAAAAACAUGUAAGAGGAGUUGCGGUACAUGGUAGAUAGAUUCAAAUGUGUUGCUAGGUCAUAGACCUGGAAGUCAAUUCGGGUGUAAUUGUUACACUCAAAGAUAGACCCCGCCACUCUAGACUCCAGACGAUUAUGGCCAGGUAUGCAUGAAAAAGAGUCGAACAUUUUUCAGUCAUUGAACAUAAAAAAAAUGCAUCGCAUGUUCCCUACACCUACUCCUCAGAGCAUCUCCAACCGAACGUCUAUAUACCGAUCUCCAUAUCUCCGUAUGGUGAGCCUCUCUGGAAAAAAAAUCCUCUUCGUAUUUCUUCACGCUCUGACAUACCCUCCAUUUUCCGUCCUUUGUAUUCCACACUCUUUCUCACUCCAGUUUACAAAAAAAGUGAUGUUUUGGACAUACCUAUUUGACCGCUGAUGUUGUUUCAGUAUUUAGGUUGGAAACUUGAGAAUCAGAUGUACAGAUUUGUGUCGGAAACUAUUUUUAAGAUACCAUAAUUUUAAAGUAGAAAAUAGUGCUCAGAAUUAUAUUUUGAUGGUCAUGUCACUGUCCAAAAUGUCACCUUUCCUUGAACGGGAGGACAGGGGCGGAGCCAGAAAAUUUGGCCAAUGGGUUCACUCGUUAGUUCAUUGUGCGGUUUGGGUACGAGUUAAUUAAGUGUAAAGUACAUUUCCACACCAUUGAACAACAAGAAUACAAUACUUAAGAUAUCCUAACAAAUAGAAAUAUGACACCAAUAAUCACAUAUGGUAAUUACAUUAAAAAGCUUAAAAGUGCAAGAUGUACCAGUUGUAUAAGACCGCUUGUCUAACCAAAAUAACCUCGUAGCCUCAGGGUCAACUUUUCAUCCUCCGGAAAAGAUUAAAAAAACACAUUCGUUUGACAAGUUUAAAGUAAACUGCCAUCUAGCGAAAGAAUGUAAAUUCACUCACAUUUCAUAGUGGCCCCUUCCGAUAUUUCAUCAUCCUAAAAUUUAAUUACUUUCUGCAUAAAAGGCUCUGGGAGAUCAUAUGAAUUAAUUUCUCUGAAUAGAAGGCUCUGGAAGAUUAUUUGCAGCAAGCCAUUGGUACGACCAUGGUAACAUCCAGCGUAUUAAAGAAAACAUGCAUCCACGACAUUGUUGACGAGAAAGCUAGAGGAGUUCAUCAGCUGAAACUACGGCGAGGCAGAGAUGGAAAGAUGCGGAUGGUAUGCGGACCUGAGUUUGUGGCCGUGGCUGAUCGAGCAUGCAAUUUGGAACCUAAUCACAUGGACCUGAGUGCAAUACGUGAACAUAAAUUGUGUGACCGUAGAGUUAUACGAGAACCAGAAGAGGUAAAACCAACGUUCCGUACGCCUCCUGAUUGGAUACGAAUCGGCUCGAUCGAUAUUUGUUUGCAUGGUAGAAUGAUGGAUGCAAUUUAAUUAGGUAUCUCUUGUAGUCCACGUACAAAAAGAAGAUAUAUUAUCUUUUGGAGUUGUUGCGUCCACUAGUUGGUACGAAUGUGAGGUGGUCUUCUGUUAGGAUUUAGUUGUUAAUUAGAUUAUUCUGUUUAGAGUCCAGAUCUUCUUACCUUCAAGUGUACGAGAGUCAAGCCAUAUAAACGGCUGGCUUCGGCCAAUGUAAAGGGGGCAGUUUUGAGUUUAUUUGUGAGUUAUGAACAAGGUUCAGAAAACGUCCAGUUUUUGGGCGAUCCAAUCUUGAGUAUUUUCUGUGAUUUUCCUUUGAGGGAAUAUAUUAGCGACGAAGGGUUGAUCAUCACAUCGACGCCUACGUGCUGAUCCGAGGGGGUCAUUAUCUUUGUUCGUGUACUGAUCGUGUGCCGGUAGAGAUUGUUAUUGGAGGUUACGAGGAGGAACACGGGAAAAGAACUGCUGAUCUUGCAUCGCCGUGAAAGGUCGGGCCAUCUAAAAGCACAAAAUAACGUCUGGUUAGUCCUUGCCUUAUCAAGUGGUAUCAGAGCUAAGGUUAGUCACGGCGAUUCAAUUUGCAAUAUCGUCUGCGGAGGCGAGCAGGAAAAUGUUGAUGGAGGAGGAAGGCAUUGGUGAGGUCACUCUUUUUCACACUCGUUGCGUCGUGAACAAUAUCACAUCUACAUCUGGUGUGUGGGCUUAAAGUGCCUACAUCACUGUAUGAAUCCGAUGAUCAAUUUCUAUUUGACAAAUAUCAUUCCAUAGCCUGGAAUCCUAGAUCAAUCAAAGUUUAAAGGAAAAGCAGUUAGAAAAUUAGGGCAAAGGUUAAUUUCGUACUUAAUAGGUUACAAGGCAUGCACAAGCGGAACGAUGUGAUCGAUCUCAUUACCUUCAAUCUGGUGUACUUCAAUUGCCGGCCGCUGUCGACGGCUUCUUGGCUUGCCACUGGGCGUUGGCGGUCGGGGUCGCCAUGGGCUAACAAGAGAAACCUAGGAAGUUGUCGAGUCGGGCUGCGUGCGGUGUGUUGUGUAAUCUUUUUUAGAUAAUUAUGUUGCGUACAUGACAUGGAAUCGAUUGAUCGGCGGUCCAGCCUGCUUCGUGGAUGGCACUGAUGGAUCACAUUUACUCAUGGGCUUCUUUUGUUUUUGAGAAAUAUUGACUUUUGGUUGGGCUAUUCAAGUUAUGAAACAUUAAUGGGCCAAGAGGCUUCCCGCUCGUGCGUUCUAGCUUUGCUGGGUUCAACCGUGCAUUCGUACUGGGUUCAUCAAAGUGACUACGUGUCUACAUAUACGUGCGUGAGAAAAUCGUUGGGUUCAGUUGAACCCAACACCUACAUGCUGGCUCCGCCUCUGCCGGAGGAAUUAUAUUUUAUCGAUAUGAUAUAAAUAGCAAUAUUCUUUUAAUGGCCAUAUGUUUCAAUGACUAUAUUUGUAACGGCUAUUUUUGGACGGAUGCAUUUGUAAUGGUUAUAUUAGGCUAUACAUGCAAAGCUAUUUGCCUUUUUAUGGUUGUUCCUCUACCACAUCACAAUUAGUGGUCGCAGCUUACUCAUGCAAUGUCUCUUGGAUACUUCGUUGUCUGAUGAUGGCAAGGAACUUAUUCUUACAUCAACCCAAGCACACAAUGAAUAUUAUCGUUUGAAUACACACUAUGCCAAGAUCCAUUAGUAUACGCUAAGUGAUUCAUCGCAACAGGUUUGUUGUUAGUCGAUAUGUUUGUGUUUGCUUUUUUUGUUUAAUUUCUUGUCUAUGGCUCAUGUUUAUUUUACGUCCAGGUUUAGAAUGACUUGUUCUCUAACUUUUGACAUAGUGUAUGCUGUAGAAGGCAAUGAUGACACCUUCGUGUAGAGAACUGAUGGCUGUGGACAUCUUGGGCUAUCUUUUUUUUUUUACAGAAGAUUACCCCAACAUUUAAAAUACUAACUAAUGGAGUAGCACCCGGUGCUGCGGAUGAUUUCGGAUUGGAGCACAGAACCGCCUUGGCGUGGAACAUUCAAAAGCUGAUAUUAUGUGCUGGAUAUGUAGUAAGAAUAAGUACUUUGCCAUCAUGACGACGAUGAAUCCAGGAGAUAUCACUUCAGUAAGUAGUGACAGCUCAUUGCUAUGUUGAGCCAUGUCUGUAUGAAAAGUGAUGGAUGUGGACAUGUUGGGUUAUCUUUUUAACAGAAGAUUACCCCAACAUUUAGAAUGCUAACUAAUGGAGUAACCUGAUGCUACGGAUGAUUAUGUUGGGAUCGGAGUAAGUACUGUUAGUGUCCUAAAAUGUUUGAGAAAGCUAUUGCAGAAGUCUUCGGAGGUGAGUAUUUGAGAUGUUGAAAUGAAAAUGAUGUUUUGCAAUUGCAGAGUAAAGAGAAUUUUUGCCGUGCUGGUAGACAAUUUUCCAUUUCUAAUGCAUGCAACCUAUGCUAUUUAGCAUUCUGCCCCCCCCCCCCCCCCCCUUUUGUUCUACAAUCGCUAGCCAUUCAGCAGUACAAUUCUCAUUUGAAGAUCUCACAUACUCAUCCUCAGGGACUUCAACAAUAGUUUUUACAAAUUGUAAGACUUUAUAGCAAUACUUUCUUCAAUCCGAACAUAACCAUCUGAAGCAUUCGUUGCUAUGUCAUACAUUAGCAUUCUGAAAUGCUACUGUAAGCUUCUCUGUAGAAUAUAACCCAAGAUGUCCAGCUCUAUCUCUUUUCUGUACAAAAUAGUCGUCAUGAUCUUGUACAAUUUGCACUAUGCCAAAAAAUAGAGAAGUCAUGCGAGGGGGUUUUAGAUGAUUUGCCCCAGGGUUGUUUCAAUGACCAGUGGCCCUGGCCCACCCGGCAAGCUUCUCAGGGGGCGCGGGGGGGGGGGGGGGGGAUUAUCUAAUGGAGAAGUAAAGUGGGGCAAAA